GCCUGGGUGGCUCAGUCGAUUAAGCGUCUGACUUCAGCUCAGGUCACGAUCUCGCGGUCCGUGAGUUCGAGCCCCGCGUCAGGCU
rfam:Felis catus isolate Cinnamon breed Abyssinian chromosome B1, whole genome shotgun sequence.